GGGACGAACGCUGGCGGCGUGCUUAACACAUGCAAGUCGAGCGGUGAGGCCUUUCGGGGGUACGCGAGCGGCGAACGGGUGAGUAACACGUGGGUGAUCUGCCCUGCACUUCGGGAUAAGCCUGGGAAACUGGGUCUAAUACCGGAUAUGACCUCCUAUCGCAUGGUGGGUGGUGGAAAGAUUUAUCGGUGCAGGAUGGGCCCGCGGCCUAUCAGCUUGUUGGUGGGGUAAUGGCCUACCAAGGCGACGACGGGUAAGCCGACCUGAGAGGGUGACCGGCCACACUGGGACUGAGACACGGCCCAGACUCCUACGGGAGGCAGCAGUGGGAAUUUGGACAAGUGGGCGAAAGCCUGGAUCCGAGCCAUCGCCGCGUGCGAGGAUGAAGGCCGUUCGGGUUAGUAAACGUUCGGUACUUUUCGAACGGUAACGAAAA
rnacentral:rRNA from 1 species